ACCCUCAGUUCCCCAUCUAACGCAAUCAGCACCCCCACUUGGGGAGUACGCCUGCAAGAGUGAAACUCACAGAAAUCGACGGGGGCCCGCACAAGCGGUGGAACAUGUGGUUUAUUUAGAAGCAACGCGAAGAUCCUUACCAGGUCUUGACAUCCCGCUGUCCGCUCUGAGACAGAGAUUCCCUUCGGGGCAGCGGUUACAGGUGGGGCAUGGUUGUCGUCAGCUCGUGUCUUGAGAUGUUGGGUUAAGUCCCACAACGAGCGCAACCCUUAUCUUUAGUUGCCAGCAUUCAGUUGGGCACUCUAGAGAUACACCCGUCGACAAGACGGAGGAAGGAGGGGAAGACGUCAAAUCAUCAUUCCCCUUAUGACGUGGACUACUCACGUGCUACAAUGGUUGGUACAACGGGAUGCUACCUCACGAGUGGACGCCAAUCUCUGAAAACCAAUCUCAGUUCGGAUUGUAGGCUGCAACUCGCCUACAUGAAGUCGGAAUCGCUAGUAAUCGCGGAUCAGCAUGCCGCGGUGAAUACGUUCCCGGGCCUUGUACACACCGCCCGUCACACCACGGGAGUUUGCAACACCCGAAGUCGGUGAGGUAACCGCAAGGAGCCAGCCGCCGAAGGUGGGGUAGACUACG
rnacentral:rRNA from 1 species